rnacentral:tRNA from 2 species
GGAGGGUAGUGCGGAACACGUCCGCAACCGGUCUCGAAAACCGGCACCGGGCGAAAGCCCGAGGGUUCAACUCCUUUACCUUCCG